CAAUAGCGUAUAUUAAAGUUGUUGCAGUUAAAAAGCUCGUAGUUGGAUUUCUGGUGAGAUGGAUUAUGUCUAGGUCGAAAGAUCUUGUUCAUGGUUCGUUUUGCCCUUCUUGUCAGGAACCCGCUGAGAUUCGCGUCUUGUCGGUGGAAUGGCAUCGUUUACUGUGAAAAAAUUAGAGUGUUCAAAGCAGGCAUCGCCGUUGAAUACAUUAGCAUGGAAUAAUAAGAUAAGACUUUGGUGGUCUAUUUUGUUGGUUUGCACGCCAAAGUAAUGAUUAAUAGGGAUAGUUGGGGGUACUCGUAUUCUAUUGCUAGAGGUGAAAUUCUUAAAUUUAUGGAAGACGAACUACUGCGAAAGCAUUUACCAAGGAUGUUUUCAUUAA
rnacentral:rRNA from 1 species